GACGAACGCUGGCGGCGUGCUUAACACAUGCAAGUCGAACGGAAAGGCCCUGCUUGCAGGGUACUCGAGUGGCGAACGGGUGAGUAACACGUGGGUGAUCUGCCCUUCACUUCGGGAUAAGCCUGGGAAACUGGGUCUAAUACCGGAUAGGAGCCAUUUUUAGUGUGAUGGUUGGAAAGUUUUUUCGGUGUAGGAUGAGCUCGCGGCCUAUCAGCUUGUUGGUGGGGUAAUGGCCUACCAAGGCGGCGACGGGUAGCCGGCCUGAGAGGGUGGACGGCCACAGUGGGACUGAGAUACGGCCCAGACUCCGACGGGAGGCAGCAGGGGGGAAUAUUGCACAAUGGGCGCAAGCCUGAUGCAGCGACGCCGCGUGGGGGAUGACGGCCUUCGGGUUGUAAACUCCUUUCGCUAGGGACGAAGCUUUUUGUGACGGUACCUAGAGAAGAAGCACCGGCUAACUACGUG
rnacentral:rRNA from 1 species